rnacentral:rRNA from 1 species
CAGGUCAAAUGGAUUUUCCCUACUGCGCCAACGCGGCCCGUAGCGGCCUUCGGUGGAUUCCCAUGUACUGCAUGGUUCGAUGUGGAGGAGGCUUCGGUUGACGGCCCCGACGACGUCGACGCAUCCGCCACACACAUAGCAAACCUGCUAUCGUCCGAGCCGUCCGAUGUGAGGCUUCGGAUAGGCGGUUUCAGCAUGGGAGCGGCCACUGCGCUCUACUCUACCGCAUGUUAUGCUCAUGGAAGGUUCUCAAACGGUGUUGCGUACCCUAUUACCCUCAGCGCUAUCAUUGGGUUGAGCGGCUGGCUUCCCUGCUCCAGGACCCUGAGGACCAAGAUUGAGAGCUCACAGACUGCUUUCAGGAGGGCUGCUGCCUUGCCGAUAAUGCUUGGCCAUGGAAGAGGGGACGAGGUAGUCACGUACAGGAACGGUGAGAGGUCGGCCGAGUUUCCGCGGAACUCGGGCUUUUCUUACCUGAAUUUGAAAGCCUACAACGGACUGGGCCAUCACACCAUCCCUGAGGAAAUGGACGAUGUCUCCAAGUGGCUCAGGGCAAGGCUCGGGCUUGAUCGCUCUUGCGGCUAA